rnacentral:rRNA from 1 species
GGGUUGUGAGGUUAAGUGACUAAGCGUACACGGUGGAUGCCUAGGCAGUCAGAGGCGAUGAAGGGCGUGCUAAUCUGCGAAAAGCGUCGGUAAGGUGAUAUGAACCGUUACAACCGGCGAUACCCGAAUGGGGAAACCCAGUGUGUUUCGACACACUAUCAUGUCAUGAAUACAUAGUGGCAUGAGGCGAACCGGGGGAACUGAAACAUCUAAGUACCCCGAGGAAAAGAAAUCAACCGAGAUUCCCCCAGUAGCGGCGAGCGAACGGGGAGGAGCCCAGAACCUGAAUCGGCUUGUGUGUUAGUGGAAGCGUCUGGAAAGUCGCGCAGCAAAGGGUGAUAGCCCCGUACACUAAAAUGCACAGGUCGUGAGUUCGAUGAGUAGGGCGGGACACGUGACAUCCUGUCUGAAUAUGGGGGGACCAUCCUCCAAGGCUAAAUACUCCUGACUGACCGAUAGUGAACCAGUACCGUGAGGGAAAGGCGAAAAGAACCCCGGCGAGGGGAGUGAAAUAGAACCUGAAACCGUGUACGUACAAGCAGUGGGAGCACCUUCGUGGUGUGACUGCGUACCUUUUGUAUAAUGGGUCAGCGACUUAUAUUUUGUAGCAAGGUUAACCGUAUAGGGGAGCCGUAGGGAAACCGAGUCUUAACUGGGCGAAUAGUUGCAAGGUAUAGACCCGAAACCCGGUGAUCUAGCCAUGGGCAGGUUGAAGGUUGGGUAACACUAACUGGAGGACCGAACCGACUAAUGUUGAAAAAUUAGCGGAUGACUUGUGGCUGGGGGUGAAAGGCCAAUCAAACCGGGAGAUAGCUGGUUCUCCCCGAAAGCUAUUUAGGUAGCGCCUCGUGAACUCAUCUUCGGGGGUAGAGCACUGUUUCGGCUAGGGGGCCAUCCCGGCUUACCAAACCGAUGCAAACUCCGAAUACCGAAGAAUGUUAUCACGGGAGACACACGGCGGGUGCUAACGUCCGUCGUGAAGAGGGAAACAACCCAGACCGCCAGCUAAGGUCCCAAAGUCAUGGUUAAGUGGGAAACGAUGUGGGAAGGCAUAGACAGCCAGGAUGUUGGCUUAGAAGCAGCCAUCAUUUAAAGAAAGCGUAAUAGCUCACUGGUCGAGUCGGCCUGCGCGGAAGAUGUAACGGGGCUAAACCAUGCACCGAAGCUGCGGCAGCGACGCUUAGGCGUUGUUGGGUAGGGGAGCGUUCUGUAAGCCGUUGAAGGUGGCCUGUGAGGGUUGCUGGAGGUAUCAGAAGUGCGAAUGCUGACAUAAGUAACGAUAAAGCGGGUGAAAAGCCCGCUCGCCGGAAGACCAAGGGUUCCUGUCCAACGUUAAUCGGGGCAGGGUGAGUCGACCCCUAAGGCGAGGCUGAAAAGCGUAGUCGAUGGGAAACAGGUUAAUAUUCCUGUACUUGGUGUUACUGCGAAGGGGGGACGGAGAAGGCUAGGCUAGCCGGGCGACGGUUGUCCCGGUUUAAGCGUGUAGGGGGUGUGACCUGGUAAAUCCGGUUACAUACUAACCCUGAGGCGUGAUGACGAUGCACUACGGUGCAGAAGUAGUUGAUGCCCUGCUUCCAGGAAAAGCCUCUAAGCUCUAGGUAACAUUGAAUCGUACCCCAAACCGACACAGGUGGUCAGGUAGAGAAUACCAAGGCGCUUGAGAGAACUCGGGUGAAGGAACUAGGCAAAAUGGUGCCGUAACUUCGGGAGAAGGCACGCUGGCAUGUAGGUGAAGUCCCUUGCGGAUGGAGCUGAAGCCAGUCGAAGAUACCAGCUGGCUGCAACUGUUUAAUAAAAACACAGCACUGUGCAAACACGAAAGUGGACGUAUACGGUGUGACGCCUGCCCGGUGCUGGAAGGUUAAUUGAUGGGGUCAGCCGCAAGGCGAAGCUCUUGAUCGAAGCCCCAGUAAACGGCGGCCGUAACUAUAACGGUCCUAAGGUAGCGAAAUUCCUUGUCGGGUAAGUUCCGACCUGCACGAAUGGCGUAAUGAUGGCCAGGCUGUCUCCACCCGAGACUCAGUGAAAUUGAACUCGCUGUGAAGAUGCAGUGUACCCGCGGCAAGACGGAAAGACCCCGUGAACCUUUACUAUAGCUUGACACUGAACAUUGAGCCUUGAUGUGUAGGAUAGGUGGGAGGCUUUGAAGCGUGGACGCCAGUCUGCGUGGAGCCAUCCUUGAAAUACCACCCUUUAAUGUUUGAUGUUCUAACUCGGCCCCAUAAUCUGGGGUGAGGACAGUGUCUGGUGGGUAGUUUGACUGGGGCGGUCUCCUCCCAAAGAGUAACGGAGGAGCACGAAGGUUAGCUAAUCACGGUCGGACAUCGUGAGGUUAGUGCAAAGGCAUAAGCUAGCUUGACUGCGAGAGUGACGGCUCGAGCAGGUACGAAAGUAGGUCUUAGUGAUCCGGUGGUUCUGAAUGGAAGGGCCAUCGCUCAACGGAUAAAAGGUACUCCGGGGAUAACAGGCUGAUACCGCCCAAGAGUUCAUAUCGACGGCGGUGUUUGGCACCUCGAUGUCGGCUCAUCACAUCCUGGGGCUGAAGUAGGUCCCAAGGGUAUGGCUGUUCGCCAUUUAAAGUGGUACGCGAGCUGGGUUUAGAACGUCGUGAGACAGUUCGGUCCCUAUCUGCCGUGGGCGUUGGAAGAUUGAGAGGGGUUGCUCCUAGUACGAGAGGACCGGAGUGAACGCACCACUGGUGUUCGGGUUGUCAUGCCAAUGGCAUUGCCCGGUAGCUAAGUGCGGAAAAGAUAAGCGCUGAAAGCAUCUAAGCGCGAAACUUGCCUCAAGAUGAGUCUUCCCUGGGCCUUUAAGGCCCCUGAAGGAACGUUUAAGACUAAGACGUUGAUAGGCUGGGUGUGUAAGUGCAGCGAUGCAUUGAGCUAACCAGUACUAAUGAUCCGUGAGGCUUAACCUUACAACACCGAAGGUGUUUUAG